CCCAGAGUGAAAGACAGAGGAACCAAUCGAGGCUCGGCUGACCUCAGACGUCUAAGGCGAUAGGCGUUGCUAAGAAAAGGGGGUGGGACGAUACCCAGUUGCCAAGACGACGGCUUCCGGGUGGGCGGCUUGAGGUGGCUUCCGGCCGCCAGGCGAGACUCCGCGGGAAAACUCCCUGCUAGAGAGACUAGGAGAUUUGGGGCUGCGGCCGUUUCCUCCGGAGCACCCACGGGACUGUGUGCUGGGGUCCCUCCACCGGCUGUGUCCUUUAUUCUUCUUUCUCACCCAACGAUUUACCUGAACGGUUAUAAAGUGCACGUUAUUUCCCUAAGCACUUUGAGUAUAUUGGCCCACUGCAUUCUGGACUUCAAAAUUUCUGAUGCGAAAUAUGCUGAUACUUUUGUUGAAGAAAUCUGGGCUUUGAGCAUCUGUAAGAUAUUUGUUGGAAGGUUUUGUCUGGUCCUUCUUACUGAUGUGUUGCUCUUCUUCAUGGCUCGUGAAAACUAUUAGAGUCAUCCAAGGUUUGGAGACAGAAAGGAGCACCGCCAAGUGAGGCAGAGCAGUCUCAGAAACAUAGGAAAAUGGUGGGAAGAGAGAUCAGCAACGUUAACUGGGUGUCAAGAAAACAUACCGAGAUUGAAGCCAUCCACUUCUGCAGGAACACCGAAAAGAAAGGGGAUAAGAGUGGUUUCAAAGGAGACUGUUCCGACCAGGAGGUCCCAUCCCUGACACACCAGUACUUGGGAGACUCAACAGGAACGAACUGAAGUCUUGUUGCUUUUAAAGAACUAGAAAGCUGUUUUUGGUCGCUUCGAAGAGAGGGGAGACUCUGAGCUACCUGGGAAGGAGAUGCGUUUGGAGGUUGCAGGAGAAUCUGUCAGCUCCUUCUCUGCUUGGCUGGACGAUGCUAAAAGAGAAAGUAGAAGAUGCAAUACAGCAGCCAGACCAGGCCAGCUCCCAGAGGGUUUGUGUUGGGUGAAAAUCAACAUUCAUUUAUAGCACAGGAUUUUCUUAAAACACCAAAAUUCAAGAAGGAUGAACAUCCGGACUGAUUUAUCAAGCAUGUUGGAAAAGAAGCAAGUGUUUCUUUCUCCCCCAUGAAUUUCUGUCACUACUUUAACAACUGAACAUUAGGAAAAGAAGGCAAAGAAAUGGAAUAAAAGGCUCUGGAGUUGGAUUAAGCUAAAUUCAGUCUGUUCUAACCUCCCCCAAUCUAGAUACAAUCUGCUGGCUUGUGGGGGGCAGUAGGGCUGAGGGUGGGUGGGAAAGUCUCACCAAUUGCUUUGCCAGCCUCAGUACCAGACAUGCUCUGCUUCAGAAAUGUAAGAAGAGAUGUGCUCUCAACUUUAUUGUCCCUCCUCUUGGAAUCACAACAUGGCACAGCAUUGGCAACAUGAAAAAUGUGAUUUGAGAAAGGUUCACAUGAGUAUCAGCACACCAAAUAUGUGGGGGAAAAAAAUCAAGUUUGGGUUCAGCAGUUUGCUUUUGGGGAAGAAAUAAUUGAGGAGUGGAACUAGGCAGGGCCUGAAUCCAAGAUAUAAUCUAGCCAGUGCUCCAGACCCAAGAGUUUAUUCAGAGUGGGUGGGAAUAGGGAAAGUUUCCUAUCUGCUUGCCCAAACCAUGCCUCCAUGCCCCUCUUGCUUACACCACCAAAAAAACCAAACGCUAUUUAAAGAGGAGUGGCCCAUGAGGAUUGAGCAGCAGACAGCACGUACGGAAGUGCUGGUGGGAGGAGUUCUCUGAAGGAUGGAAAGGAAACAUUUCUUUAUCUUCUCUAUUUUUAACCCCAAUCAGUAGGCAUUAGGUUAGGCUCAGGGUUUAUAGUUAGGAAAAACCUGCUAUCUGCUCCUCCUUCCAGUAGAGGCAAACACUUUGAUAAGAAAACAGCCAGGCUAAGGGUUUAUCCAGGAUAAGCAAGGCUCCUCCAGCUUAAACACAGUAUGGUUGGAUCUGGUUGUUCCAUAACCUGGUCAAUAUCUGAGUGUUGGCUCUUUCAUUUGUUUUGAAUAUGGGACUCCAUUUUUCAGAAUUUUGUUUAAAGCAAUAAGAAAAAAAAAGUAAUAAAAGUGGUAGUGAGAAAAUAUAUAUACCCACUUCCCUCAUGAAAAAAUAAUGUGACUCAGCAUUCAGGUCACUGAAUUAGAAAGCCCAAUUUUUAUUCCCUGUUAAACUGCUUUCUGUUUUACCCUGUCUAGUUAUCUGGCAUAUAUUUCCAUUUAUGCUUGGGUUUGAAAUUUGUUCUGAUGUGGACACCAAGAUGCUGUCAUUAC
rnacentral:lncRNA from 10 species